rnacentral:rRNA from 1 species
GGCUCAGGGAGGACGCUGGCGGCGUUCCUAAUACAUGCAAGUCGAGCGAAGUGGAGGAAGCUUGCUUCCAAAGCUUAGCGGUGACCCGGUGAGUAACACGUGGGCAACCUGCCCGAUAGACCGGGAUAACUUGGGGAAACUCAAGCUAAUACCGGAUAGGAUCAUUGACCGCCUGGUUGGUGAUGGAAAGUCUGAACGACACUAUCGGAUGGGCCCGCGGCGCAUUAGCUAGUUGGUGGGGUAAUGGCCUACCAAGGCGACGAUGCGUAGCCGACCUGAGAGGGUGACCGGCCACACUGGGACUGAGACACAGCCCAGACUCCUACGGGAGGCAGCAGUGGG